rnacentral:rRNA from 1 species
UUCGCCCUUAGAGUUUGAUCCUGGCUCAGAGCGAACGCUGGCGGCAGGCUUAACACAUGCAAGUCGAACGGGCUUCUUCGGAAGUCAGUGGCAGACGGGUGAGUAACACGUGGGAACGUGCCCUUCGGUUCGGAAUAACUCAGGGAAACUUGAGCUAAUACCGGAUACGCCCUUAUGGGGAAAGGUUUACUGCCGAAGGAUCGGCCCGCGUCUGAUUAGCUUGUUGGUGGGGUAACGGCCUACCAAGGCGACGAUCAGUAGCUGGUCCGAGGGGAUGAUCAGCCACACUGGGACUGAGACACGGCCCAGACUCCUACGGGAGGCAGCAG